GCCUGGCUGGCUCAGCGGCGAGCGUCUGCCUUCGGCUCAGGGCGUGAUCCUGGAGUCGUGGGAUCGAGUCCCACAUCAGGCU
rnacentral:tRNA from 1 species